UGUACUUAUGCAAACAUUGACAUUUGGUAAUGGAUUUGCAUUAGCUGUCUCCAUAGUAACGAUUCCAGAAACAAAUGGUAUACUACUGGCAUGUGGCUGUGAUGAUACAUCUAUUAGUUUAUUUACAAAUGCUAUUGAUCAGAAUAAUUUAAUAAAAGUUCUCAGCCUUAAAGGACAUGAAGAUUGGAUUCGAUGUUUAACCUUUGUGCAGA
rnacentral:lncRNA from 1 species